rnacentral:rRNA from 1 species
UAGCUAGUUGGUGAGGUAACGGCCCACCAAGGCGACGAUCGGUAGCCGGACUGAGAGGUUGAACGGCCACAUUGGGACUGAGACACGGCCCAGACUCCUACGGGAGGCAGCAGUGGGGAAUAUUGCACAAUGGGGGAAACCCUGAUGCAGCGACGCCGCGUGGAGGAAGAAGGUCUUCGGAUUGUAAACUCCUGUUGUUGAGGAAGAUAAUGACGGUACUCAACAAGGAAGUGACGGCUAACUACGUGCCGGCAGCCGCGGUAAAACGUAGGUCACAAGCGUUGUCCGGAAUUACUGGGUGUAAAGGGAGCGCAGGCGGGCGAUCAAGUUGGGAGUGAAAUCCAUGGGCUCAACCCAUGAACUGCUUUCAAAACUGGUCGUCUUGAGUAGUGCAGAGGUAGGCGGAAUUCCCGGUGUAGCGGUGGAAUGCGUAGAUAUCGGGAGGAACACCAGUGGCGAAGGCGGCCUACUGGGCACCAACUGACGCUGAGGCUCGAAAGUGUGGGUAGCAAACAGGAUUAGAUACCCUGGUAGUCCACACCGUAAACGAUGAUUACUAGGUGUUGGGAGAUUGACCCUCUCAGUGCCGCAGUUAACACAAUAAGUAAUCCACCUGGGGAGUACGACCGCAAGGUUGAAACUCAAAGGAAUUGACGGGGGCCCGCACAAGCAGUGGAGUAUGUGGUUUAAUUCGACGCAACGCGAAGAACCUUACCAAGUCUUGACAUCCCUUGACGAUGCUGGAAACAGUAUUUCUCUUCGGAGCAAGGAGACAGGUGGUGCAUGGUUGUCGUCAGCUCGUGUCGUGAGAUGUUGGGUUAAGUCCCGCAACGAGCGCAACCCUUAUGGUCAGUUACUACGCAAGAGGACUCUGGCCAGACUGCCGUUGACAAAACGGAGGAAGGUGGGGAUGACGUCAAAUCAUCAUGCCCUUUAUGACUUGGGCUACACACGUACUACAAUGGCGUUAAACAAAGAGAAGCAAGACCGCGAGGUGGAGCAAAACUCAGAAACAACGUCCCAGUUCGGACUGCAGGCUGCAACUCGCCUGCACGAAGUCGGAAUUGCUAGUAAUCGUGGAUCAGCAUGCCACGGUGAAUACGUUCCCGGGCCUUGUACACACCGCCCGUCACACCAUGAGAGCCGGGGGGACCCGAAGUCGGUAGUCUAACCGCAAGGAGGACGCCGCCGAAGGUAAAACUGGUGAUUGGGGUGAAGUCGUAACAAGGUAGCCGUACUAGUACGUAGAUAG